rnacentral:lncRNA from 1 species
AGGAAAACUACCAAUCAGCUAGAAAUAUUCUGUCCUGCAACCAAAUAUGGGAAAGAAGAACAGGACUUGCUGCAAAUGGUCUUGGAUGAAGUAAAAAAGGUCAGGGCAGUCCAGAUGUCAAGGGACAUCCUUUUUUAACAGGAGGCCAGAGGCAAGUAAUCAAGUUUACUUCAGUGGGCUUUGACCAGGACUGUAUUCACGAGAUUUUACUGUCUUUUCCUGGAUGAAUGAACUGGACUCCUGGAUAUGUGCAGGUUCUUUCUGUGACAGGGUUAGGAACUGCAAGCAGUAUGAUGUACAUCUUACAAGGAUGAAGGGAACAUAUUUGAUAAGAUGGGAACAAUAUCAGCUCAUGGACAUUAGUCGAAACCAGUUUGAGAACACUGUGGGUUUCACAAGUGGAUCUAAUAGCUGCCUUGCUCUGGAAGCUUUAACUGACAUCAAAGAAAAACAAGUCAAAAAGUCAAAUUUGGGAGGGGAGAACAGGGAGCAUGACUCUGGAGGACGCCAGGAAAUGGCUCUUGAAGUUAAAUGAGGCUGGAUAAAACACAUAAAUGAAGCAGAAGCUGCUCUGCAUGUGUUAGGACUCUAUCUCCAGAAGCACUGCUGAUCAGCC